rnacentral:tRNA from 1 species
GGUGAUGUAGCUCAGUUGUAGAGUGCUUGUCUAAUGUACAAGGAGUCUGGCUUUCAUCCCCA